UUUUAGAUUGUUUAGAAUUUUAUUUUUGGAUGAAAAAGUCCAAAUGUUAUUAAAAGACAAGAAGACCCUAUCGAGCUUUAGAGAAAUUAAUAGGUUUAAUGUAAAUUCAUAUAAGUAAAAGACAUAACUAUUAAACACUUUGGUUGGGGCAACCGAGGAGUAAAUAAAGCCUCCUUUAUUUUGUGAGUCUUACUUGUGUUGAUCCAGAAAUUUUGAUCAAAGAAAUUAGUUACCGUAGGGAUAACAGCAUUAUCUUUUUUGAGAGCUCAUAUCGAAAAAAAGGUUUGUGACCUCGAUGUUGGACCAGAAUGUCCUAAA
rnacentral:rRNA from 1 species